rnacentral:rRNA from 1 species
GGAGGGGGCCAGCGUUGUUCGGAAUUACUGGGCGUAAAGGGCGCGUAGGCGGUCGGGCAAGUCGGACGUGAAAUCCCUCGGCUCAACCGAGGAACUGCCUCCGAUACUGCUCGGCUUGAGUCCCGGAGAGGGUAGCGGAAUUCCCAGUGUAGCGGUGAAAUGCGUAGAUAUUGGGAGGAACACCGGUGGCGAAGGCGGCUACCUGGACGGGUACUGACGCUGAGGCGCGAAAGCGUGGGGAGCAAACAGGAUUAGAUACCCUGGGUAGUCCACGCUGUAAACGAUGGGCACUUGGUGAUGCGGGUAUCGACCCCCCCUGCAGUGCCCGAAGCUAACGCAUUAAGUGCCCCGCCUGGGGGAGUACGGUCGCAAGGCUG